CAGUCGCCACGGGAAUACAUAGGGUGCAAGCGUUAAUCGGAAUUGCUGGGCGUAAAGCGUGCGCAGGCGGUUUGUUAAGACAGAUGUGAAAUCCCCGGGCUUAACCUGGGAACUGCAUUUGUGACUGGCGGGCUAGAGUAUGGCAGAGGGGGGUAGAAUUCCACGUGUAGCAGUGAAAUGCGUAGAGAUGUGGAGGAAUACCGAUGGCGAAGGCAGCCCCCUGGGCCAAUACUGACGCUCAUGCACGAAAGCGUGGGGAGCAAACAGGAUUAGAUACCCCCGUAGUCCCUGUCUCUUAUAC
rnacentral:rRNA from 1 species